rnacentral:rRNA from 1 species
UACGAAGGGGGCUAGCGUUGCUCGGAAUCACUGGGCGUAAAGCGCACGUAGGCGGAUUUCUAAGUCAGGGGUGAAAUCUUUCGGCUCAACCGGAAAACGGCUUCUGAUACUGGCAGGCUGGAGGGAGGUAGGGGCAGAUGGAACUUCCGGUGGAGCGGUGAAAUGCGUAGAUAUCGGAAGGAACGCCGGUGGCGAAAGCGAUCUGCUGGACCUCCGCUGACGCUGAUGCGCGAAAGCCAGGGGAGCAAACGGG